rnacentral:misc_RNA from 1 species
AGGUAAUGCUGUUGGUAGCUUUGAAUGGAAUUACUAUAUUUCUAAAGCUUUCAUCCAUGACUGUGAUGCCUUGAGCGUGCCAAGUGUUGAAACUUUGAAGAUACUGAUAUUGGUAUGUCAGGGAGCCAUAGAAGGAGGGAAAAAGCUUCCAAUUAUUCUAAACCCUCGAAGCAAAUUUAGCUGGUACAACAGUAAAAUCUGCACGAGACCCAACCAUG